GGGCGAAUGGCCGAGUGGUCUAAGGCGCUGGAAUCAGGCUCCAGUCUUGUUAAAAGGCGUGGGUUCGAAUCCCACUUCGCUCA